CAGUAGCCGCGGUAAUACGGAGGGAGCCAGCGUUGUUCGGAAUUACUGGGCGUAAAGCGCACGUAGGCGGUUAUUCAAGUCAGAGGUGAAAGCCCGGGGCUCAACCCCGGAACUGCCUUUGAAACUAGAUGACUAGAAUCUUGGAGAGGUCAGUGGAAUUCCGAGUGUAGAGGUGAAAUUCGUAGAUAUUCGGAAGAACACCAGUGGCGAAGGCGACUGACUGGACAAGUAUUGACGCUGAGGUGCGAAAGCGUGGGGAGCAAACAGGAUUAGAUACCCGCGUAGUCCCUGUCUCUUAUAA
rnacentral:rRNA from 1 species